ACUAAUUAAUAAGCAAGUAAGCUACUAGUGACUAAUCAGUAUUCAAAUUGCUUGUAUAAUAUUAAUAGUUAAAUAUUUUAAAUCUAAUUUUUAUAAAACAACAUUUCAUAUUUCAAAAUUGUGCCGGGAGCACAGUAGGUAUUACAGAAAAUAAUAAGUUAGGAAAGUUAAUACUAAUUCCUUUGUUCAUUGGAAUCAAAGUUUUUUUUAUCUUAACGUUCUUACUGGACUAAGGGUUCGUACCUCCCCCAAAAUGUUUUCUUAAAAUGAAAUUGAAUGAUUUUAAAUGUAAAUGUACAUCAUACCAUACUUCAUUUUGAGUGAAUUUUACUGUUGUAGGUAGUUCUGACAUUUUAUCUAUACGGACUUAAUUCAAAGGUAUCAAGAUAAUAAGCUGGACUCAAUUCAAAUACAUAAAAGUAGCAUGGACUCAAUUUAAUAUCACCGGCUCAGUUAACUCACAUAAUACCAAACGCUAGAUUUAAAGAUGUCAUUCAUCCAGGAUGAAAUAAAAAAGUUUGCUAACAAAUAUGCGAAGAAACUUUAAGUACUUACUACACACUGAUACAUUUGCAAAAAAACUGCUUGACAGUUGACACCUUGCAAGACAUUUUACUAUUAUAGAAACACUUGAAGCUGGACGAUUUGAUUUAAGCGACUUAAAUUAAGAACAUAUUAAUCUGUAUAGUUAUAUAUAAAUACCUAUAACUGUUAUAUUA